UGCGGAGGAAAAGAAACUAACAAGGAUUCCCCUAGUAGCGGCGAGCGAAGCGGGAAGAGCUCAAAUUUAUAAUCUGGCACCUUCGGUGUCCGAGUUGUAAUCUCUAGAAAUGUUUUCCGCGUUGGACCGCACACAAGUCUGUUGGAAUACAGCGGCAUAGUGGUGAGACCCCCGUAUAUGGUGCGGACGCCCAGCGCUUUGUGAUACAUUUUCGAAGAGUCGAGUUGUUUGGGAAUGCAGCUCAAAUUGGGUGGUAAAUUCCAUCUAAAGCUAAAUAUUGGCGAGAGACCGAUAGCGAACAAGUACCGUGAGGGAAAGAUGAAAAGCACUUUGGAAAGAGAGUUAACAGUACGUGAAAUUGUUGGAAGGGAAACGCUUGAAGUCAGACUUGCUUGCUGAGCAAUCGGUUUGCAGGCCAGCAUCAGUUUUCCGGGAUGGAUAAUGGUAGAGAGAAGGUAGCAGUUUCGGCUGUGUUAUAGCUCUCUGCUGGAUACAUCUUGGGGGACUGAGGAACGCAGUGUGCCUUUGGCGGGGGUUUCGACCUCUUCACACUUAGGAUGCUGGUGGAAUGGCUUUAAACGACCCGUCUUG
rnacentral:rRNA from 1 species